AUGGACCCCAAACAGACCACCCUCCUGUGUCUUGUGCUCUGUCUGGGCCAGAGGAUUCAGGCACAGGAAGGGAGGUAUAUUAGCGAGCAUUUUUGGUGUUGAAGUUUGGGCUGCAAUCCGGUAAAUGAUGCUUCAGCACAACGGCCAGGGGACUUUCCCAUGCCUUUCAUAUCUGCCAAAUCGAGUCCUGUGAUUCCCUUGGAUGGAUCUGUGAAAAUCCAGUGCCAGGCCAUUCGUGAAGCUUACCUGACCCAGCUGAUGAUCAUAAAAAACUCCACGUACCGAGAGAUAGGCAGAAGACUGAAGUUUUGGAAUGAGACUGAUCCUGAGUUCGUCAUUGACCACAUGGACGCAAACAAGGCAGGGCGCUAUCAGUGCCAAUAUAGGAUAGGGCACUACAGGUUCCGGUACAGUGACACCCUGGAGCUGGUAGUGACAGGCUUGUAUGGCAAACCCUUCCUCUCUGCAGAUCGGGGUCUGGUGUUGAUGCCAGGAGAGAAUAUUUCCCUCACGUGCAGCUCAGCACACAUCCCAUUUGAUAGAUUUUCACUGGCCAAGGAGGGAGAACUUUCUCUGCCACAGCACCAAAGUGGGGAACACCCGGCCAACUUCUCUUUGGGUCCUGUGGACCUCAAUGUCUCAGGGAUCUACAGGUGCUACGACUCCAUCCACCAAGAUUACACGACGCAGAACUUGAUCCGCAUGGCCGUGGCAGGACUGGUCCUCGUGGCUCUCUUGGCCAUACUGGUUGAAAAUUGGCACAGCCAUACGGCACUGAACAAGGAAGCCUCGGCAGAUGUGGCUGAACCGAGCUGGAGCCAACAGAUGUGUCAGCCAGGAUUGACCUUUGCACGAACACCAAGUGUCUGCAAGUAA
rnacentral:misc_RNA from 1 species